CCUUGGAAAAUCUCAAAGGUGCAACCUGCCCUAUGGUAUAAGAUAAAUUUUGUAACCAAGAUUAUAACGAAUACUAAAUGGCCGCGGUAACUCUGACCGUGAUAAUGUAGCGAAAUCAAUCGUCAUUUAAUUGAUGACCAGUAUGAAUGGUUAAACGAAUUUUCCCCUGUCUCGGAAAUAGAUCUGUUAAAACUGUAAUAAUAGUGAAGAUACUAUUAAAAAACUGUAAGACGAAAAGACCCUAUAGAGCUUAACUAAAAUCUUCUUCGAUCUAAAAUUAUAACUUAUAAUUAAAUCUAAGAAGACUGUUAGUUUGGUUGGGGCGACCAUCUUCUAAUAAAAACGAAGAUAAACAAGGAUAUUAAAUAAAAUAAAUUUAAUUGUUUAACUCAUUUGUUUAACAAAUAUAAAAGUAGGUAUAAGUGACCCGUUGAUAUUAAAAAACAAAAUCAACGAUCAAUAAAUAAAAGCUACCUUAGGGAUAACAGCGUAAUCUUGUUUAAGAGUUCUUAUCGACAACAAGGUUUGCGACCUCGAUGUUGAU
rnacentral:rRNA from 1 species